AUUCUAUCUCAAGCAUGGAUUAUGUUAGUGGAUUUUUUUGGAUUUGCUGUGUCAGACAAAUAUGCUCUUUUGUUGCAACUUCUAGAAGACAAUGAUCAACCUCAUCUUGUCAAUUUAGAUCUGGAGUUGCUAUGCACAUACAAAAUUCCAUCAUGAGGACAAGUUUUUUGAGAGUAAUAUUUUUCCUCAAAUAUUGAAUCAAAAUUUUGAUUGAUCAUAAUAAGUAAGAAGAUAAAUGAGACUUUGAGGUGACAACUAAAGCAUUGUGGUACAUUAACUAUAAAGUGUUAUGAAUGAUGCAUUAAUAUUGCAGCAAUUGUUACAAUAUUCCAUUACUAAAAGUUUUAAUAUUUUAUUAUUCUUAUGUGAUUAUUUUAUAUAAUUGUAAUAGAUUUUUUAAAAAUACAAUAAUCUUUGGUAUAUUAAAUCAUUACACAUAAAUACAGCAUGGCUUUAAAUUAUUAAUUUUUUGUAUUUGAUAAGCCAAAAUUAUAAUUUUGGUUGUUUACAAGAGGAGUUUUCAAACUCAUAUUGCAACAUCGAUAAUCUAUUAUCUUAUAGUAUUUUAGUUCUUCUUUACCUUUUAAGUUGAAUAUUUCCAAGCACAUUGUACCAAAAUCCACUGAUAAUUUCCUGUUUCAUGAAAGUCAAAAAUCUUCUGUAUGGAGACAAACUCUGCAAAAUUGAUAAGUCCAGAUUGUAACUAUUUUUUCUUACAAAUACAUUGCUUUUAUCAACUAAAGGUUUUUGAAAUUUGGAAUUACAAACCCUGUUUGUGAAAAUUUAAUUCCCACCACUGAUACCAUGAUUUUUUUACACACAAAUCUAUUAACUUUCCAAAAACAUCUGUGCAGUAGCAAAUUGAGAAUAAUUGGAAAAAACUCCCCAUCAUUUCAUCUACAAAAGAGGAAUUUUGUUAAUGUUAUUUAUUUGAAUAUUAUAUUCAUAAAUAAUAAUAUACAACUUACAAUUAGACUACCGUUUCAUGUAUGAGUGUCAUACUGAUUUUUUUUUAAUAUUACUGCCACGUCAGUAUUCUAAUAUCAUGAAUUUCCCUGUACUAUCAUUAUUCUUAACCUCAUAUCACACAAUAAUAUUUGUUCAUU
rnacentral:lncRNA from 1 species